UACAGAGGUGGCAAGCGUUGUUCGGAAUUACUGGGCGUAAAGGGCGCGUAGGCGGCCUUCUAAGUCAGACGUGAAAUCCCCCCGGCUUAACCUGGGAACUGCGUCUGAUACUGGGAGGCUUGAGUAUGGGAGAGGGAUGUAGAAUUCCAGGUGUAGCGGUGAAAAUGCGUAGAUAUCUGGAGGAAUACCGGUGGCGAAGGCGGCAUCCUGGACCAUUACUGACGCUGAGGCGCGAAAAGCUAGGGGAGCAAACGGG
rnacentral:rRNA from 1 species